rnacentral:rRNA from 1 species
UACGGAGGGUGCAAGCGUUAUCCGGAUUUACUGGGUUUAAAGGGUGCGUAGGCGUCCCAACAAGUUUUCGGUGAAAUCUCUCCGCUCAACGGAGAAACUGCCGGGAAAACUGUGGGGAUUGAGUUCGGUUGAGGUGGGCGGAAUACAGCAUGUAGCGGUGAAAUGCUUAGAUAUGCUGUAGAACACCAAUUGCGAAGGCAGCUCACUAAGCCGUUACUGACGCUGAGGCACGAAAGCGUGGGGAUCGAACAGG